rnacentral:lncRNA from 1 species
GACAACAUGAUCUUCAAUUUCGACAACACAACGGCUCUUGAAACUGUUUGUCGUCUAAAUGUUGGCGGAGGAGAUAUUGAGAAUGUAGACGAUACAGGAAUGUUUCGAACAUGGUUCGAUGAUUCCAGCUAUCUUUUUGGUGGUCUGUCUGGUGUCGAGCAUAUGGGGCGCGGUAAUGUCACAAUAAAAUACAGUAAGGAUACGCCAGCAUAUGUUGCACCAGAAGCUGUAUACAUUAGUAAACGUACAAUGGGUCCAGAUUCUAUGAUAAACAGGAAUUACAAUCUCACCUGGCACUUUUUGGUUGAUUCUGGAUUCAAUUAUCUUCUCCGCCUCCAUUUUUGUGAAACUGAAAAAGAGAUCACUCAUGAAGGUCAAAGAGUGUUUUCCAUAUUUAUAAAUAACAUGACAGCUGAAGCACAAGC